CCACAUUCCAACGUGGAACUGUCUGAUUGGUUCUUACCAAACUGUGGCUACGAUCCACUUCACCUCGUCUGACCCCACCCGUUAUGUACACCGAGGUAACGCUGCAUUGCCCCUUUGAUACCCAGUGACAAUGUAGGUUUUUGUUGUUUAAUUUUUAACCGACGUGACUUUACCGAAUAGAACCAAAGAGUAUGGAUCCUUGCAGUCACGAAAGCUUCAAAUCUAGAACAAUGCAGGUUACCGAACAGCGAGUAGUUAACACCUCUACACUAUAAUGGAGCAAAAGUGUCAGUUUGUUACUCCAGAUUCGGUUUUACGAGACAAUUGUUAUUGAGCGUAGAACCUUUGCGAAAAAUGUACAUUCAAUUAAGUAGUGCUUUAGUGUAAUAUUAAAGCGUCAGUUAACACAAAAAAAAUGUGAGUUAAAUUUGGGAAACAUUACAUCCGGUUUACGACGCGCCGAUUAGCGACAUGCGUUUACGACGUCUAUUUAAGGCCACCGUGGAUCGAUUUACGGCACAGAAUCUAAAUUGAGGACCCAUCUUCCCACACGAUUCCGACUUAAUUUACACGGCGAUGAUUCGACCGUGCAAACGGAGCAGAAAGUCAGCGAGGAUUUAUUUUUCUCACAAGGUCAACUCACUCGGGCAGAGGAAGGAAGAACACGAGCAUGAUUGGCUACGUACAUAUGAUGGGUGAUGUAGCCAAGACAAGUAUUUGCAAUGGGACUGAUCCAAAGGGCUUCUGCUGCUCGGUUGGCUUCCCACCGCGUUUCUUCCCCCCGCACGCUUCACUCACCAUGCCGUCGGCGCACUUGGUGCCGGACUGCACGAGAGCCGGGUCGGGAACGUCGCUGCCCAGGUUGUAAUCCA